rnacentral:rRNA from 1 species
AUUGAACGCUGGCGGAAUGCUUUACACAUGCAAGUCGAACGGUAGAGGGGGCAACCCCUCGAGAGUGGCGAACGGGUGAGUAAUAUAUCGGAACGUGCCCAGUCGUGGGGGAUAACGUAGCGAAAGUUACGCUAAUACCGCAUACGAUCUACGGAUGAAAGCGGGGGAUCGCAAGACCUCGCGCGAUUGGAGCGGCAGAUAUCAGAUUAGGUAGUUGGAGGGGUAAAGGCUCACCAAGCCCACGAUCUGUAGCUGGUCUGAGAGGACGACCAGCCACACUGGAACUGGGCCACGGUCCAGACUCCUACGGGAGGCAGCAGUGGGGAAUUUUGGACAAUGGACGCAAGUCUGAUCCAACCAUUCCGCGCGCAGGCUGAAGGCCCUCGGGUUGUAAACUGCUUUUGUACGGAACGAAAAGGUUUCCAUUAAUACUGGGGGCUCAUGACGGUACUGUAAGAAUAAGCACCGGCUAACUACGUGCCAGCAGCCGCGGUAA